GCACCAAGAAGCUUCAGAGCAACUGAUUCACCAGAACUGGAUCUUUGGAGGCUCAGCGCGGUCAGGCCUAAGGAAGAUUCGACUCACGGGGACCAACCCUCCUGCAGAAUUCAGAAUCCUGGGGCUUAUAGAUCGGGUCAUGGGCACCCAGCUGUCGAAGACAGCCCGACGCUGCUCCACAAACCAAAGCCUGUUCCUGGUACUACCGCCGAAAUCGCUCUCCUCCCGGAGCAAUGUUAGGAGGGGCCAAGCACAGCACCAGCUGUGCCUGUGGAAAUGGCUUCAUC